UAUAAAUUCACAACAAUUAAAGGCUACUUUUUAUCUUGUCAACAUUGCUAUGUAGAAUGACUGGUAAAUAGUAAUGUAUUAAAAAACCCUAACAACAAAAUGUAUAUUUAGACAUGAGCUUUCUUGGCACACAUACUUGUAUCAGUUUUUAAAGUUUACAAAAUACUGUUACGUUUUCACAGAUCAUUUAGUCCCCAGCACUGUGGAAGGAUUUAUCAACUUCAGUUGUAAACAUGCUGAUGAAGUAUAGAAUCUUCCUCUUUGUCAGCAUUACUUUAUGCUGCUUUUUUCUCUCCCCCCCCCGCUCCAGGCUUGAGGCUUAUGUUCCUGUUCCCCCUUUUCUUUUAAGCCAGAACUUCAGAAGUUGUAGAGCACUGUGUUUUUCACUCUCCACCUUCAUUCUCCUCUUCAGGGCCUCUGCCUCUGCUGCCUUCUGUGUUUGAGGCUUUCCUGAGAGGAGCAGGUGGAAAGCAAGUUCAUGCUUCAGGGCCUUGAAGCCCAUGGCUUAAUGUUUGAAAGCAUCUCUGAUUUUGCGGUCGGGGCAUUUGGUCUUGGUACAGCAUGACUCCUGUAUGAGUCACACCUGUGUGCCAGCCUGUCUCUAGUUGGAAGGGAAGUGUAUCCGUCUGGAUUGCUGAUCUGUGGCCCAUUUAUACAGCAACAGCCAGAGAAGUUCCUAAGUGAAUUGUAAAUUAUUAAGCUACUAUCAAUUUAGAAAUACUAAGAUCUUAAAUAUGACAAGAUAAACUCAUUGAGGAAAAAAAUCCAUUAUUUUGAAGACAAUUAUGGGGGGCAGAGAAGACUGAUUUUUUUAAAAGGAGCUAAAAGUGCUACCAACUAAGGGAGAAAAUAAUUCGUAACCAGUAAAACAAUACUAAUAGCAUAGAAACAACCAGACGAGAAAUGUGAGGUAGCCAGCCUUAGGAGGAGUGACCGGUGAAAUUGGUGAAAAGAUAACUGCAGAACAGCUUUGCACGCAAAGCCUUUCUAACAAGGGGAGUGACUGAGGAUCUGCCAUUGCAUCUACCUUAUGGCUUUGCAGUUAGGUAACACGAUCGUUUCACUAAGUACUGUUCCGAAUUUUGUCACGGAGAAGCUUAAAUUUGUGAUGAGCUGUAAUUACACAACUCAGCUGUGGCAGUGUGUCACUGGAGUAGGUAGAGUGCAGUGCUUAUUUCUGAGAAUUCCUACCAUCUGAUGUUUAUUCACUCCUCUGUUAAGAUUCGGCUUGGGUGCGUGUCGGUUUGGUGGAAUGAAGAAUGAAGGCCGUAUUUGUUGGAUUUCAUGUAAAUGAUCUUGCAAGCCUAAGCAGCAUGGUGGUUUGUGUCUGUGACUCCUUUCCCUCCUCAGGGUGGGAGUGAAUACAUGAUCUGUGAGAAGGAUGCUGCAGGAGUCACUUUUUCCUUUUGGUCAUGCUUCAGACACUGAAAUCCUCCGUUCAUCUUCCUCUCCUUUUUCCUAUUGUGUUUGAUAAUUGUGGAAUAACAACUGUGAAAGGAAAAAUUAGUUACAAGUAACCCUUUUGGAUUAUUCACUUAAAUUUGUGUAUUUUCAUAUUACUCAGGUAAAGUUGGAAAUGACAGAGCACAGACAUCUAUUUUUAAAACUGAUAGAGUAGAAAAUGGAAAGUACUUCUGUUUAUUCUUCCUGCCAUAUGCACACAUCACCUUAGCUAGUCAGAAAUAAUAAUAUAUUCAUUUGUAUGAUGAAAUAAAUAGUUGUCGUAAUUCUAGUGGAUACAUUUUUGCCAAGUGGCACAAAUAUACCUCCAUUUAUAUUUUGUAUCUUAAAAAUGUAGUUUAAAAAUAGGACUGUAUAAGCGCCACUUUUUUACAAAAAGUGCCGUAUAUACAUAUUUAACGGGUGUGUGUUGAACAUAAUUUAUAGUAUAAUUUCUGUCAGUACAGCAUAUACUGAAAAUUCAAGUUUUCAACAUACCCAAGUACAUUCAGGAUAAAGUAAAUUGAUCAAACC
rnacentral:lncRNA from 1 species